rnacentral:rRNA from 1 species
GAUUAACGCUGGCGGCGUGCCUAAUACAUGCAAGUCGAGCGGACAGAAGGGAGCUUGCUCCCGGAAGUCAGCGGCGGACGGGUGAGUAACACGUGGGCAACCUGCCUGUCAGACUGGGAUAGCUCCGGGAAACCGGAGCUACUACCGGAUAGGUUCUUCCUCCGCCUGGGGGAAGAUGGAAAGACGGUUUCGGCUGUCACUUCUAGAUGGGCCCGCGGCGCAGUGGCUAGAUGGUGGGGUAAUGGCCCACCAAGGCGACGAUGCGUAGCCGACCUGAGUGGGUGAUCGGCCACACUGGGACUGAGACACGGCCCAGACUCCUACGGGAGGCAGCAGUAGGGAAUCUUCCGCAAUGGACGAAAGUCUGACGGAGCAACGCCGCGUGAGCGAAGAAGGCCUUCGGGUCGUAAAGCUCUGUUGUUAGGGAAGAACAAGUGCCAGAGUAACUGCUGGCACCUUGACGGUACCUGACCAGAAAGCCACGGCUAACUACGUGCCAGCCGCCGCCGUAA